CUCCUCAGGCCCAGGACGUGGGCGAU
rnacentral:piRNA from 1 species